rnacentral:rRNA from 1 species
UACGAAGGGGGCUAGCGUUGUUCGGAAUCACUGGGCGUAAAGCGCACGUAGGCGGAUCUUUAAGUCAGGGGUGAAAUCCCGAGGCUCAACCUCGGAACUGCCUUUGAUACUGGGGAUCUCGAGUCCGGGAGAGGUGAGUGGAACUGCGAGUGUAGAGGUGAAAUUCGUAGAUAUUCGCAAGAACACCAGUGGCGAAGGCGGCUCACUGGCUCGGUACUGACGCUGAGGUGCGAAAGCGUGGGGAGCAAACAGG